AUUGAACGCUGGCGGCAUGCCUUACACAUGCAAGUCGAACGGCAGCACAGGAGCAAUCCUGGUGGCGAGUGGCGAACGGGUGAGUAAUAUAUCGGAACGUGCCCAGUCGUGGGGGAUAACGUAGCGAAAGCUACGCUAAUACCGCAUACGAUCUAUGGAUGAAAGCGGGGGAUCGCAAGACCUCGCGCGAUUGGAGCGGCCGAUAUCAGAUUAGGUAGUUGGUGAGGUAAAGGCUCACCAAGCCGACGAUCUGUAGCUGGUCUGAGAGGACGACCAGCCACACUGGGACUGAGACACGGCCCAGACUCCUACGGGAGGCAGCAGUGGGGAAUUUUUGGACAAUGGGCGCAAGCCUGAUCCAGCAAUGCCGCGUGCAGGAUGAAGG
rnacentral:rRNA from 1 species